rnacentral:rRNA from 1 species
CCUACGGGAGGCAGCAGUGGGGAAUAUUGCACAAUGGGGGAAACCCUGAUGUAGCGACACCGCGUGAGUGAAGAAGUAUUUCGGUACGUAAAGCGCUAUCAGCAGGGAAGAAAAUGACGGUACCUGACGAAGAAGCCCCGGCUAACUACGUGCCAGCAGCCGCGGUAAUACGUAGGGGGCAAGCGUUAUCCGGAUUUACUGGGUGUAAAGGGGGCGGAGACGGAUGCGCAAGAUUGGAGUGAAAACCCAUGGCCUAACCAUGGAACUGCUUUGGAAACUGGGUAGCUAGAGUGCAGGAGGGGUAAGCGGAAUUCCUAGUGUAGCGGUGAAAUCCGUAGAUAUUAGGAGGAACACCAGUGGCGAAGGCGGCUUACUGGACUGUAACUGACGUUGAGGCUCGAAAGCGUGGGGAGCAAACAGGAUUAGAUACCCCGGUAGUC